rnacentral:rRNA from 1 species
GGAAUAUUGGGCAAUGGGCGAAAGCCUGACCCAGCGACGCCGCGUGAGGGAUGAAGGUCUUCGGAUUGUAAACCUCUUUCAGUAGGGAAGAAGCGAAAGUGACGGUACCUAAAGAAGAAGCACCGGCUAACUAUGUGCCAGCAGCCGCGGUAAUACAUAGGGUGCAAGCGUUGUCCGGAAUUAUUGGGCGUAAAGAGCUCGUAGGUCGUUUGUCGCGUCGAUUGUGAAAAUCUGAGGCUCAACCUCAGACCUGCAGUCGAUACGGGCAAACUAGAGUGUGGUAGGGGAGACUGGAAUUCCUGGUGUAGCGGUGGAAUGCGCAGAUAUCAGGAGGAACACCAAUGGCGAAGGCAGGUCUCUGGGCCAUAACUGACACUGAGGAGCGAAAGUGCGGGGAGCGAACAGGAUUAGAUACCCUGGUAGUCCGCACCGUAAACGGUGGGCACUAGUUGUGGGAACCUUCCACGGUUUCCGCGACGCAGCAAACGCAUUAAGUGCCCCGCCUGGGGAGUACGAUCGCAAGAUUAAAACUCAAAGGAAUUGACGG